rnacentral:rRNA from 2 species
GAUUAAGUUAUAAAGGGCGCACGGUGGAUGCCUAGGCACUAGGAGCCGAUGAAGGACGUAACUAACGACGAUACGCCUCGGGGAGCUGUAAGUAAGCUUUGAUCCGGGGAUUUCCGAAUGGGGGAACCCAAAUAUCGUAAUGGAUAUUUACUUGUUUGUGAAUACAUAGCAAUCAAGAGGAACACGCAAUGAACUGAAACAUCUAAGUAGUUGCAGGAAGAGAAAGAAAAUUCGAUUCCCUGAGUAGCGGCGAGCGAAACGGGAAUAGCCCAAACUAUGAAGCUUGCUUCAUAGGGUUGUAGGACUGAUGUUGUGAGAACAAAAGGUAACGAUAGUUGAACAAGUUGGAAAGCUUGGCCAAAGAGAGUGAAAGCCUCGUAAACGAAAUCUGACCCACUCCAUUCAGUAUCCUGAGUACGGCGGAACACGAGAAACUCCGUCGGAAUCCGGGAGGACCAUCUCCCAAGGCUAAAUACUCCCUAGUACCGAUAGUAAC